rnacentral:rRNA from 1 species
CAAUAGCGUAUAUUUAAGUUGUUGCAGUUAAAAAGCUCGUAGUUGGAUUUCGGUUAAGAGCGACCGGUCCGCCGUUUGGUGUGCACUGGUUGGUUUUAACUUCCUGUAGAGGACGUGCUCUGGUUUAACGACCUGGACUCGGAGUCUACGUGGUUACUUUGAAAAAAUUAGAGUGUUCAAAGCGGGCUUACGCUUGAAUAUUUCAGCAUGGAAUAACACUAUAGGACUCCUGUCCUAUUUCGUUGGUCUCGGGACGGGAGUAAUGAUUAAGAGGAACAGUUGGGGGCAUUCGUAUUUCAUUGUCAGAGGUGAAAUUCUUGGAUUUAUGAAAGACGAACUUCUGCGAAAGCAUUUGCCAAGGAUGUUUUCAUUAA